AGGGUUCAAGCUUGGAACCCUUGGGAACUGAGGCUAAUACCAGAUAUGGGAUUGAUACUGGAAUGUACUUUCCCUGAAAGUUUCGGCGCCUGAGGAUGAGUUGGCGGCUGAUUAGGCUGUUGGUGAGGUAAUGGCUCACCAAACCUCGGAUCAGUAGGGGAGAUGAGAGUCUUAGCCCCGAGAAGGACACUGAGAUAAGGGUCCUAGCCCUAAGGGGUGCAGCAGUCGCGGAACCUCUACAAUGUGCGAAAGCGUGAUAGGGGUAUCCCAAGUGCUUAGUUUUACUAAGCUUUUGCCAUGUGUAAAUAGCAUGGCGAAUAAGUGGUGGGUAAGACCGGUGCCAGCCGCCGCGGUAACCCCGGCGCCACGAGUGGCAAUCACAAUUAUUGGGUCUAAAGCGUCUGUAGCCGAUUUGGUAAGUUCCUUGUGAAAUUGUUUGGCUUAACCACACAACGUGCAAGGAAUACUAUCAGAUUAGAGACUGGGAGGAGGCAGGAGUACUCCUUGGGAAGCGGUAAAAUGUUAUAAUCCUUGGAGGACUACCUGUGGCGUAGGCGCCUGUCUAGAACAGGUCUGACGGUGAGAGACGAAGGCUAGGAGAACGAUCGGGAUUAGAUACCCCAGUAGCCCUAGCAGUAAACGCUGCGAACUAAGUGUUGCAUGCUCUUCGAGAACAUGCAGUGCUGUAGCGAAGGCAUUAAGUUCGCCACCUGGGAAGUACGGCCGCAAGACUGAAACUUAAAGGAAUUGGCGGGGGAGCAC
rnacentral:rRNA from 1 species